CGCGUAGGCUGAUAUGUAAGUGUCAGGUGAAAUCCCCCGGCUUAACCGGGGAAUGGCCUGACAAACUGCAUGUCUUGAGUCAAGUAGGGGUGUGUGGAACUCUUGGUGGAGCGGUGGAAUGCGUAGAUAUCAAGAGGAACGCCGAAGGUGAAGACAGCACACUGGGCUUGAACUGACGCUGAGGCGCGAAAGCGUGGGGAGCGAACA
rnacentral:rRNA from 1 species